rnacentral:rRNA from 1 species
GACGAACGCUGGCGGCGUGCCUAAUACAUGCAAGUCGAACGCACAGUUUAUACCGUAGCUUGCUACACCAUAGACUGUGAGUUGCGAACGGGUGAGUAACGCGUAGGUAACCUGCCUGGUAGCGGGGGAUAACUAUUGGAAACGAUAGCUAAUACCGCAUAAUAUUGAUUAUUGCAUGAUAAUUGAUUGAAAGAUGCUAUUGCAUCACUACCAGAUGGACCUGCGUUGUAUUAGCUAGUAGGUGAGGUAACGGCUCACCUAGGCGACGACACAUAGCCGAGCUGAGAGGGUGAUCGGCCACACUGGGACUGAGACACGGCCCAGACUCCUACGGGAGGCAGCAGUAGGGAAUCUUCGGCAAUGGACGAAAGUCUGACCGAGCAACGCCGCGGGAGUGAAGAAGGGUUUCGGAUCGUAAAGCUCUGUUGUAAGAGAAGAACGGGUGUGAGAGUGGAAAGUUCACACUGUGACGGUAGCUGACCAGAAAGGGACGGCUAACUACGUG